rnacentral:rRNA from 1 species
CGCGUAGGUGGUUUUUAAGUCGGAUGUGAAAUCCCCGGGCUUAACCUGGGUCGGUCAUUCGAUACUGGAAGACUAGAGUAUGGUAGAGGGUAGUGGAAUUCCUAGUGUAGCGGUGAAAUGCGUAGAUAUUAGGAGGAACACCAGUGGCGAAGGCGACUGCCUGGACUGAUACUGACACUGAGGUGCGAAAGCGUGGGUAGCGAACA